UACGUAGGUGGCGAGCGUUGUCCGGAUUUAUUGGGUUUAAAGGGUGCGUAGGCGGCCCUAUAAGUCAGUGGUGAAAUAUCGCAGCUUAACUGUGAGGGUGCCAUUGAUACUGUAGGGCUUGUGUGAAUUUGAGGUAGGCGGAAUUGACGGUGUAGCGGUGAAAUGCUUAGAUAUCGUCAAGAGCACCGAUAGUGAAGACAGCUUACCAAGCUUCAACUGACGCUGAGGCACGAAAGUGUGGGGAUCAAACAGG
rnacentral:rRNA from 1 species